GACGUAGGGCGCGAGCGUUGUCCGGAUUUAUUGGGCGUAAAGAGCUCGUAGGUGGUUCGGUAAGUCAGGUGUGAAACCUCCAGGCUCAACCUGGAGACGCCACUUGAUACUGCUGUGACUGGAGUCCGGUAGGGGAGCGUGGAAUUCCUGGUGUAGCGGUGAAAUGCGCAGAUAUCAGGAGGAACACCAGCGGCGAAGGCGGCGCUCUGGGCCGGUACUGACACUGAGGAGCGAAAGCGUGGGUAGCAAACAGG
rnacentral:rRNA from 1 species